UAGGGAAUCUUCCGCAAUGGGCGCAAGCCUGACGGAGCAACGCCGCGUAAGCGAAGAAGGCCUUCGGGUUGUAAAGCUUAGUCACUCGGGAAGAGCGGGUGGGAGAGGGAAUGCUCCCACCGAGACGGUACCGGGAGAGGAAGCCCCGGCAAACUACGUGCCAGCAGCCGCGGUAAUACGUAGGGGGCAAGCGUUGUCCGGAAUCACUGGGCGUAAAGGGUGCGUAGGCGGUGUUGUGGGUCUGAGGUGAAAGGUCGGGGCUCAACCCUGAGAAUGCCUUGGAAACUGCAAGACUUGAGUGCUGGAGAGGCAAGGGGAAUUCCACGUGUAGCGGUGAAAUGCGUAGAGAUGUGGAGGAAUACCAGUGGCGAAGGCGCCUUGCUGGACAGUGACUGACGCUGAGGCACGAAAGCGUGGGGAGCAAACAGG
rnacentral:rRNA from 2 species